rnacentral:tRNA from 1 species
AGGAUUUUAGUUUAUUUUAAAACACUUGAUUUGCAAUCAAAAAUUAUUGUGAAUCAAUUUAUCUUA